rnacentral:tRNA from 1 species
GCCCUAGUAGCUCAGUGCCAGAGCGCCGGUCUUGUAAACCGGAUGCCGGAAGUUAGACUCUUCCCUAGUGCU